AUGGUGUGUCACUUCUUUUUAAAGAGGCCUUGUGUAUUUCCACUCUCCUUUUUGUAUUCUACCAUUGCUGUGAGGAGAACAUGUCUAAAUUAGCCCUCUGGCCCUAGGAGGAUGACAGAAGACAUGUGCAGCAGAGCCAACUCAGAUGAACCAUCCCAGUCAGACAGCCUUGCUGGUCCCAGACAACCCACAGAUGUAUGCUGCUGACAGCUGUGUUCCCUGUGGAGUAAACUGCUAGCCUGGUUACCUCACUCUGGACACUAGGAUCUUGACUGUAUCAAAGCAAGAGGAAGCAUCGCUCAGUCAGGAGCCCAUGUGUUGUCCAUUAAACAAGGAGAGAGUAAGUACUUUCAGGAUUUCCUAUUUUUUCUCUCAAAUUAUCAAAUCCUAAACGUUUUAGCAAGAUGAAGCUAUUUCUUUUUUUUUUUUUAAUUGGAGUAUAACUGCUUUACAAUGGUGUGUUAGUUUCUG